AAUAAGAGCUAGAGCACGCAUCUUAGUACGAAGUUCAUCCCCGCACAUGAUUUUCUGGCGCCGUCAAAUAUAAAUUCAGUGAGUCAAGUUUCGUGGAGGCGGUAAGCGCCAUAGCGGCAGCGAAGCGAAGGAAUGGAACUCAUUUGCCCUAUCGAUCAACGCUGCUCUCAUCAAAUCGCCGCCCUUCUCCGGCCGCCGUCUCCUCCCAUCGUCCAGGAGUAUUUCGACCAGCUUAUCUCGAAACGCAAGUGCCAAGGCAUCAAAGUGAAACAAAACGGCGACUUCGGAAAAGGUGUGUUUGCCGAAACUGAUUUUGAAGAAGAACAACUUAUUUUUAAGGAUGAAAUGCUUGUUGGGGUCCAGCACCCUUCAAACAAGAUUGAUUGUUUAGUUUGUAGUUAUUGUUUCAAAUUUAUUGGAUCAAUAGAGAAACAAAUAGGGCGAAAACUGUAUCUGAAAACACUAGGAAUAGGAAAUUCUUCACAUAAUGGAUGUCAAAGAAAUUCAUCUGAUGAUGAAGAAGACGACCAUUAUGUUCAAAAUCACCAUAGUUCCGAAGAUGGAGCUUCUAGCAGUUCUGGUAGUACUAUUCCUUUGCCUAUGAUGGCUGUCGAGUCGUUAAUGAAUGGUGAAUUAGCGUUGCCUUACUCCAACAAGUUUCCCUUACCUUCUGUUGUUUCAUGCCUCGGCGGAUGUGAAGAAGCUUUUUAUUGUAGUAAAUCAUGCGCAGAGACUGAUUGGGAAUCGUCUCAUUACUUACUUUGUACUGGGGAGAAAUCAGAGUCUCGUUCUAGAAAGGCACUUUUAAAAUUCAUACAACAUGCCAAUGAAACAAAUGAUAUUUUCCUCCUUGCUGCCAAGGCAAUUUCUUUCACCAUAUUAAGGUAUAGGAAGUUGAAAGCAUCUCAUAUGAGCGAACAAGAGAAGCCUGCAUCUAGUAUAUUAGGAACUGAUCUAUCCUUACUUUUGGAGGCCUGGAAGCCAAUAUCAAUUGGACAUAAGAGAAGGUGGUGGGACUGUAUUGCCUUGCCGGAUGACAUUGAUGCAUCGGAUGAAGCCACAUUUAGGAGGGAAAUACAGGAGCUUGCAUUCACAUCACUUCAGCUCCUCAAGGAAGCCAUUUUUGACAAGGAAUGUGAGCUAUUAUUCUCCCUUGAAAUCUAUGGGCAUAUUAUCGGCAUGUUCGAGCUCAAUAAUCUUGAUCUGGUUGUAGCAUCUCCGGUGGAAGAUUACUUUUUGUACAUUGAUGAUCUUCCAUAUCCUGAAAAGAAAGAAGCUGAGAAAAUUACACAACCAUAUCUAGAUGCACUUGGUGAGGAUUAUUCCAAUUGUUGCCAAGGUACUGCAUUCUUUCCUUUGCAAAGCUGCAUGAACCAUUCUUGUUGUCCUAAUGCAAAAGCAUUCAAAAGAGAAGAGGAUAGAGAUGGCCAAGCGACAAUUAUUGCCCUCCGGCCUAUUUGCAAUGGAGAGGAGGUGACCAUUUCAUACAUAGACGAGGACCUUCCAUUUGAAGAGAGACAAGCAUUGCUUGCGGAUUACGGUUUUAGAUGCAGGUGCCCUAGGUGUUUAGAUGAAGAACCCUAGACCCUAAAUUGCCAAUGAAGUGGUUGUUUCAUAGCAUUCGGAAACAUAAACCAGAAACAUCUCUAUGAGAAAUAUUAAAUGUUAGUACAAGAAGCUAUGGAAGGAGCUGUUCCCCCUUUGGAUCUCUAUGCCAUUAGAUUGCAGAUUCAUUAGCCUGCUCAGAGGCCAACUCGAGGGAGGUCGACUUUGUCAAGAGAAGUCUUUUCCAUUGGGAGCUGAUGGAUCCUAACCAAGUUGACAUUGUCUCCACGGGAGUUUUGUCUCUUAACUAUGCCGAGAGCACGAGUGCUUGAAAAGGUGACGGUGAGAGGUUUAUAGAACAGGUGCGACUCACCAACCAAAGAAAUCUCAUAUUUGUAGGCAUACAACACAUUGUUCACUAAGUAUGCUACUAAUUUAUCACUUGGGCUCAAUUGGUAGCAUACUUAACACUGACCUAUAUGUUGUAGGGCAUGGGUUUGAGUCAUGCAUAUUACAAUAUGCAUUGUUCACCUUAGCAGGUACUCAACGAGGCGCUUGCGCUUCAACUUUGUUAACCAGUCACUUCUUUAGACACUCAGAAUUUCGGCAAAGUCAAGAGACAAAAUUUUUAUUGGAGUCAAUAUCAAAGGGUUACAGAUUUUGACCAUAUUAAAAGUAUUUUUUUUAGAUUUGAUAUAAGGGAUUUAAGUCCGAAUUACAUGUAGAAAUUAUAAAUAAUAAAUAGGCAUGAUGUGAUUCAAAAUCUUGGAUUGAUUGACAAUAUUUUAAUUUCUUGUAAAGUAGUUUUGAAAUGGAGGUGAAUGAUUUGAUA